GCUAAGAAACGUUGGAUGACUCAGCUCGUCCGUCGAUGAAGAAUGUAGUUGGCUGUGAGAAAUAGUGUGAACUGCAGAACACAUUGAUCACCAACACUCUUGCGGCCCCAGGUUCCUCCAGGGCAAGGGUGUCA
rnacentral:rRNA from 1 species